ACAAAGAAGGUGUGCAUGGUGACACCCCGUACUUACCGCUUAAGGGGUCGCGCUCCCAGGAAGCUGUAGUUACUCCUCGCAUGGGUAACUUAGUCGAAUAGCUUGAAGAGUAAAAGUGACGCUCAAGUAGAAGGGGGCUCCAGAUGGUGACACGUGUACAGCUGGAUGCGAGCCACGUGUCCAGAGGUGUAACCGUCAGGAGAGAGAAA
rnacentral:lncRNA from 1 species